AUAGAUAAAGAAAAUACAUAGCUGUUCCAGAAAACAGAAAUGGAUAAUUUCAUGAACCAAAAGCAGAGUAAUAUACUUUAGAAAGGAAGCAGGCUGGAAGACCCACAGUUGCAAAGCAAAUAGAAUUUCCAACUGCCUCUUGUAGCCCCUUCCUGGAAGUAGUCACAGCCCAGGGUGUUCAACUUCUUCCUCUGUUUUUUGUUUGUUUGUUGUUUGCUUUUCUGUGGGGUUUUUGUUGUUGUUGUUUGCUUUUUAAAAAAAAUCCCUUUCCCUGCUUUUUUGUCACAGCAGCCUUUGUCACUUCAAACACCGCAAGUGUUCUUUAAAAAAAAUUAUAUCAACCUUUCAACUAAAAUGCAACAUGUCUGAAACUUGGUAUCUGGAGAGGUGAGAGGGACAAAGGAGCCGUUGUUACUGCACGUUUUCAUUCUCCAAACUUCACCUUGCACACAGUAACAGACAAUGCACAAAGCUACUUCCUUAUGGACGGAAAUUCUGAAAUCCUUUUAUGCCUGGCCUUUCCAUCCUUCAACUUCCCCUCUCCCAUGCUGAACAGUAAGAGGACCUUGUGCAUGAAUAAUUUGUUUCCACACUGCAGAAAGAAUCCCAGACUUCUUAGAGAACCCAGUGACUUUUUGCACCUUAAAUCUGUGAAAUCCUCAUGCUUUCUUCUGCCGUAUCCAUCGUUCAAACAAACAUGAGGCAAAGCUAGACACAUU
ensembl:lncRNA FAM157C family with sequence similarity 157 member C